ensembl:lncRNA
CUUUUCCGCUGUCUCUCCUACUACUGAGCUCUCGCCUGAACUCGCGGAACAGUGACCUUCUCCGAGUGGUCCAGCACACUUAUAUACUAGAGAUGGCAGGUGGUGCAUUCGCUGGCUGGUGGACUAAGGUGGCCCCCUACUACACCAAAGCAUACCAGGAGAUGUGGGUUGGUGUAGGAAUCAUGACUUUCAUGUACUACAAACUUUCAUAUGGAGGUGAGAAGUCAAGUUUGUAGAAGAGCUCUUUAGUAGUGUGCAUACUGUCAAAAUAUCAUAAACCCUUAUUUAUUUAUUUUGUGGUUCAUAUUAUAACAAUGUACUUCGUAAACAUUGUUCUUGUCAUUAAAUUAUUAAUUUGUAUGUUAUCUUAUGUAUCUUCUAAGCAUAGCCCAUGCUCAUAGACAGUUUUGUUACACAAUAUUUGUAGAAACUUCUAGUGUCCUGUUCAAGGUAAGAGACUUGAUUUUAAGAGCUUGUUUAUGUUCUCAUUAAAUAUUAACAAUAAUAUUGCUGUUUGCAGGAAAGAAGAAAGCAGUGCAGUCAAAGCCUGCCCACUGAUUGGACCACCGGCUCGUCAUACCCCAUGUCCUCUCUGUACAUCUUCCUCUGAAGAACUUCCCCUGGAUAUCUGUAUUUUGCUUCAUGUAAACAAUAAACCGCUUGAUUUGGAUCACACUAUGGACAAUUCACUGCUUUGUGGUCUUUCACUCUGUCUUGCAAGAAAUUCAUAUCAGCAAACAUGAAACUGUUUCAUUGUUAACUUAUGGAAUAAAACUAUUAAAGAAGUCUAAAGUUUUAAUGGCUUUAGGACUUGAAUAGCAUGCAUUUGUUUGAAGGACAUAAAUAGUUUUCACAAAUAGUGUUCUUAAUGAUUUUCGUUUAAUGUGUUAUAAGAACACUGAUUUUGUUUUUGCAUUUUAGACAUGUUAUGUCAUGUUUAGUUAAUGAUAUGUAGUUCAUGUUAUUGAUCAGUAGUGGGUGUUGAAGGAUUAUCCAGCACAGCUUCAAAACAAAUGAGAAGUCCUUUAACCGUUUCUCAAAUACCUAAAAAAUACAUUUUGAAAUGAUACAAUACAUUGUAUAUUAAUUACUGGAAACUACUGAGUGAAAGUGUCGAACAUCUGCAAUAUAAGAGAGUAUAUUUCAUGUUGCCAUGUUGAACACCUGAAAGUAAA